UCCGAAUUGGUGUAGUGGCUAACAUUUGACGCUCUCAACAAUAUCAUCAUAAAUAAUAUUAUGUGAUGUCGAAAAGUGCCGUCAAGCCCGGGGUUCGAUUCCCCGAUUCGGAG